GCUUAUGCGCGCCAUCCAGGGGUGGUUCCAUUCCCUCUUGGGCUAUGUGCAGGCAUCUUCUUCACGGAAGAAGAGCCUGCUAAGCAUUGUGCCAAAGACUUUCGAGUCAAUCGAUGGCCAAUGCAAAUGAAAGAUCGAAAACCUUCGAGUUUUCCCGGAUUCUUUUGAGACGGAUUGAUGCGUAUAUAUAUUUGUACGCUCAAUGCUCUUCUCAUC
rnacentral:misc_RNA from 1 species